ACUUUCAAAGGAUAAUAGCAAUCCAAUGGUCUUAGGAACCAUUCAUCUUGGUGCAAAUCCAAGUGAAAGUA
rnacentral:tRNA from 1 species